AUGAGGUAGAUCAGAUCCAGGGGAAAAGCCUUUGGAUCCUUACACACAUACACCUGAGGAAAUGUAAAGAGAAUAUUGAAGAAGCUGUUGGGCUCCAAACGCCGGACCACUUUGCACGGAGCAGGCUGCUUUUGGGAUUAAAGAGAAGAACAAAGACACACCCAGCUUGCAAAGCAUGGAGACAAUAAGAUGUAAAGCAACCCUCUUCCUGACCCCACAUUAACACAGGAAUCAGCGUACAGCAGGCAAGUGUCACUGAACACUGGGCACCUAGCUAUUUCCUGUCAGCUGGUCCCUUUGAUCUGGCCUGAUCCUUCUUCACUUUAUUAAAAACUUUCUAAUCUUU